rnacentral:misc_RNA from 1 species
GAAAUGCGAAACGUAAUGUGAAUUGCAGCUCUUCGUGAAUCAUCAAAUUUUCGAACGCAUAUUGCGCUCUUGGGUAUCCCCAGGAGCAUGCUUGUUUGAGUGUCGGUAUCAACCCUCAACUACAAAAAGGAAUUUUUUGUGGUUGGAUUUGGAUGUUUUUCUCUUUUUUAUCGAAGAGUCAUCCUAAAUACAAUUAACCAGAAAGCACAGAAAUGGCCUUUUUUGGACUGGUGAUAAUGAUGUUUGCGCAUCUUUGUUUUUCUCGGUCUGCUCUUAGGUGAAUUUUGUGUAUUUUUCUGAUGAUUGGGCAACCAAUAAAACAAAAAAAUUUCUAUUUUGAAAUUUUUUGAACCAUUGACCUCAAAUCAAGCAAGACUACCCGCUGAACUUAA